UUACCGAGUGAGGGCCCUCUGGGUCCAACCUCCCACCCGUGUUUAUUUUACCUUGUUGCUUCGGCGAGCCUGCCUUUUGGCUGCCGGGGGACGUCUGUCCCCGGGUCCGCGCUCGCCGAAGACACCUUAGAACUCUGUCUGAAGAUUGUAGUCUGAGAUUAAAUAUAAAUUAUUUAAAACUUUCAACAACGGAUCUCUUGGUUCCGGCAUCGAUGAAGAACGCAGCGAAAUGCGAUACGUAAUGUGAAUUGCAGAAUUCAGUGAAUCAUCGAGUCUUUGAACGCACAUUGCGCCCUCUGGUAUUCCGGAGGGCAUGCCUGUCCGAGCGUCAUUGCUGCCCUCAAGCACGGCUUGUGUGUUGGGCUCCGUCCUCCUUCCGGGGGACGGGCCCGAAAGGCAGCGGCGGCACCGCGUCCGGUCCUCAAGCGUAUGGGGCUUUGUCACCCGCUUUGUAGGACUGGCCGGCGCCUGCCGAUCAACCAAACUUUUUUCCAGGUUGACCUCGGAUCAGGUAGGGAUACCCGCUGAACUUAAGCAUAUCAAUAAGCGGAGGAAAAGAAACCAACAGGGAUUGCCCCAGUAACGGCGAGUGAAGCGGCAAGAGCUCAAAUUUGAAAGCUGGCUCCUUCGGGGUCCGCAUUGUAAUUUGCAGAGGAUGCUUCGGGAGCGGUCCCCAUCUAAGUGCCCUGGAACGGGACGUCAUAGAGGGUGA
rnacentral:rRNA from 1 species